GGGGAUGUAGCUAAGCUGGGAAAGCGUUACGUUAUGUCCGCAACAUACAGGCCAUAAUUUCGAUCCCGAUCAUCUCCACCA
rnacentral:tRNA from 1 species